rnacentral:rRNA from 1 species
GAUGAACGCUGGCGGCGUGCCUAAUACAUGCAAGUCGAGCGGACCAAAGAGAGCUUGCUCUCUGAGGUUAGCGGCGGACGGGUGAGUAACACGUGGGUAACCUGCCUGUAAGACGGGGAUAACUUCGGGAAACCGAAGCUAAUACCGGAUGAUAAAGAGAAACGCCUGUUUCUUUUUUGAAAGUCGGCCUUGUGCUGACGCUUACAGAUGGGCCCGCGGCGCAUUAGCUAGUUGGUGAGGUAACGGCUCACCAAGGCGACGAUGCGUAGCCGACCUGAGAGGGUGAUCGGCCACACUGGGACUGAGACACGGCCCAGACUCCUACGGGAGGCAGCAGUAGGGAAUCUUCGGCAAUGGACGAAAGUCUGACCGAGCAACGCCGCGUGAGCGAUGAAGGCCUUCGGGUCGUAAAGCUCUGUUGUCAGAGAAGAACGAGUACCGGAGUAACUGCCGGUACCUUGACGGUACCUGACCAGAAAGCCACGGCUAACUACGUGCCAGCCGCCGCCGUAA